AUUGAACGCUGGCGGCAUGCCUUACACAUGCAAGUCGAACGGCAGCACGGGAGCAAUCCUGGUGGCGAGUGGCGAACGGGUGAGUAAUGUAUCGGAACGUGCCCAGUCGUGGGGGAUAACGCAGCGAAAGCUGUGCUAAUACCGCAUACGAUCUAUGGAUGAAAGCGGGGGAUCGCAAGACCUCGCGCGAUUGGAGCGGCCGAUGUCAGAUUAGCUAGUUGGUGGGGUAAAAGCUUAACAAGGCGACGAUCUGUAGCUGGUCUGAGAGGACGACCAGGCACACUGGGACUGAGGCACGGUCCAGACUCCUACGGGGGGCAGCAGUGGGGAAUUUUGGGCAAUGGGCGCAAGCCUGAUCCAGCAAUGCCGCGUGCAGGAUGAAGGCCUUCGGGUUGUAAACUGCUUUUGUACGGAGCGAAAAGGCUUUCUCUAAUACAGGGGGCUCAUGACGGUACCGUAAGAAUAAGCACCGGCUAACUACGUGCCAGCAGCCGCAGUAA
rnacentral:rRNA from 1 species